rnacentral:rRNA from 1 species
UUAAGUCCUGCCCUUUGUACACACCGCCCGUCGCUACUACCGAUUGAAUGGCUUAGUGAGGUCUUGAGAUUGGCGACAGGGAGCCGGCAACGGCACCCUGUUGCUGAGAACUUGAUCAAACUUGGUCAUUUAGAGGAAGUAAAAGUCGUAACAAGGUUUCCGUAGGUGAACCUGCGGAAGGAUCAUUAUCGAGUUUUGAACGGGUUGUAGCUGGCCUUUAACGAGGCAUGUGCACACCUGGCUCAUCCACUCUCAACCUCUGUGCACUUUAUGUAAGAAACGGUGUAAGCCAGCUAUUUAAUAGUUGGUAACAAGCCUUUCUUAUGUUUACUACAAACGCUUCAGUUAUAGAAUGUUUACUGUGUAUAACACAAUUAUAUACAACUUUCAGCAACGGAUCUCUUGGCUCUCGCAUCGAUGAAGAACGCAGCGAAAUGCGAUAAGUAAUGUGAAUUGCAGAAUUCAGUGAAUCAUCGAAUCUUUGAACGCACCUUGCACUCCUUGGUAUUCCGAGGAGUAUGCCUGUUUGAGUCUCAUGGAAUUCUCAACCCCUAAAUUUUGUAAUGAAGUUUAGUGGGCUUGGACUUGGAGGUUGUGUCGGCUUCUAGUCGACUCCUCUGAAAUGCAUUAGCGUGAAUCUUACGGAUCGCCUUCAGUGUGAUAAUUAUCUGCGCUGUGGUGUUGAAGUAUUUAUUAGUUCAUGCUUAUAGUCGUCUCUUACCGAGACAAUUUAGACAAUCUGAGCUCAAAUCAGGUAGGACUACCCGCUGAACUUAAGCAUAUCAAUAAGCGGAGGAAAAGAAACUAACAAGGAUUCCCCUAGUAACUGCGAGUGAAGCGGGAAAAGCUCAAAUUUAAAAUCUGGCGGCUUUGGUCGUCCGAGUUGUAUCCUAGAGAAGUGUUUUCCGCGUUGGACCGUGUAUAAGUCUCUUGGAACAGAGCGUCAUAGAGGGUGAGAAUCCCGUCUUUGACACGGACUACCAAUGCUUUGUGAUACACUCUCAAAGAGUCGAGUUGUUUGGGGAAUGCA